GAAAGGCCUAGUUGAAAUAUUUGAUCAGCUGGAAGCUGGUCAGCUUGAUGGAUCAUCAUUUUCACAUCUUGUCAGGCAUUUGCAUAAGAACAGGCAAGGUGCUCCAAGAAAGAGGGCUGGAGCUCCCCCGGGAGUCAGAGGUCGAGCAAGGUCAAGACUGGAAGAGUCAUUUUACCAAAAUCCAUAUCCAGAGUGUAUAUGCAGUUCU
rnacentral:misc_RNA from 1 species